AUGAUAAUUUUGUGUGCAGAAGGUGUUAUUAAAACUGAAAAUCUUGCCUUGACAGAAAUGUUCACCAAUUGCAUUCAUUGUGUGAAGCAUGUGUGUAGCAGCUUGGACAUUCUGAUAAAGAUAUCCCUCUGUAUUUCACUGGAAAAACAUCCUACAGGUUCAAAUCAGUGUGAGGAUCUUAGAGAUACCUCAAAGGAUCACCCUUCUUGCCACCUUUCCUGCUAUCAAACCGCCCCUGAUCUCGAAGCCCAUCGCCUCAUGACCCGACCUGCUGCUGUACAACAAUGCUCAUAUUCACAGCCUUCAGCCAGCAAAUUGCCUCUCUCAUUCCUCACCACACCCUCUGCACUCAGCCACCUGCAAAACGAACCCUGCUGGAAAUUUCACUACAAAUUACCCUGUGUCUGCUCAAUCCCCCUGGGAGAAGAAAAACCCCUGUUCUCUCCAGAACCCACAGUAACCGUGCUUAUCAAACACACGUAUAGUAAUUUACAAUAAAUCAACACCUGGAUUAAAGCUACAAUAUAUGCACCUUGAGCUUUGGGUGCUUAAAAUAAUGCAUAUGUAUGUGUGUGUAUGUUUAUAUAACCUAAAUGUAUGCAUUCCCAUAAACCAAACCUGAAAUUGCUAUGUGCAUGCUAUGUGAAAGUUUCAAGGGACAAAUGAAAGCAAUACCUAAGGCGUACUGUAAAUAACAAUCUUCUACAUGGAAUGCUUUCUUUUUUUCUUUCUUUUUUUCUGCAACUUUAGGAUAAGACUGCCCUCUGGUGGAUUUCGCUCACAAAACCAUCAGACUGUACAUAUAGGGUGAUCUAUACAUGCAGACAAAUGAGUUUGAGGCAGAACUGCCAGGAAGAUGAGAUGUUGAAAGCUCCUUGGAAAAAGGAUUAGGGCUGUUUUAUGGUCACAUGGCAUUUUGUCAACUGCAGAAGUGAGGAAAGUAUUUAAAGCCACAGUGCCCGAAUCUCCUGUUUAUUUAUUUAUUUAUUUAUUUAUUUUUAUGCUUCAGAUUGACUGAUUUGUCCCACAAGUACAUAACAUUGAGCUUUAGAAAACAAUGCACUUUUCUACAAACACACAACACACACAAAUGGCUGCUUGUUCCAGGGUUGCCAGGUUUUCAGAACAAAGCCCGUCAAAUUGCCACUCAAAACUAGCCCAAUGUUUUUCGAAGGGGUCCCUGGUAAAAAUUGCGUUCAGGGGGGUAAAAUACACGUUUUUUUGGUGGGUUUCAUUGUUGGGGUCACUUUAACCUGCGGCAACAGUGUUAAAGUAGCCCAAUUCCGUGGGAAAACAGCAGACUUGGCAACACUGAUUGUUCCAAUUUCGGACCCUUCAAAACAAGAUUCCUCUCAUACUGAUGUGUAUUUAUCAAUGGCAAUCAAAUAUUUUAGACUUUUAAAAAUGGUUUCAGAAGGUGUUUUCACAGCGAUGCCAUAGAUAGAAGAACCAUUCUGCAAACAGUUCUGAACAUUAUAAUAAUCUGAAGAAUAUUUUUCCACUAUAAAGAACCUUUUGUGCAAUGGAAAGUUCCAUGGAUGAUAAAGGUUCUUCAGGGAGCCAUCAAUGCCAAUAAAGAUCCUUUGUUUUUAAGAGUGUGAAAAGAU
ensembl:lncRNA